rnacentral:rRNA from 1 species
GUCGCACGAGACACGCUGGCGGCGUGCCUAAUACAUGCAAGUCGAGCGGAUUUGUUCCUUCGGGGACAAGUUAGCGGCGGACGGGUGAGUAACACGUAGGUAACCUGCCUAUAAGAUCGGGAUAACUAUCGGAAACGAUAGCUAAGACCGGAUAAUUGGUUUUCUCGCAUGAGAGAACUAUGAAACACGGAGCAAUCUGUGGCUUAUAGAUGGGCCUGCGGCGCAUUAGCUAGUUGGUAGGGUAAUGGCCUACCAAGGCGACGAUGCGUAGCCGACCUGAGAGGGUGAACGGCCACACUGGGACUGAGACACGGCCCAGACUCCUACGGGAGGCAGCAGUAGGGAAUCUUCCGCAAUGGACGCAAGUCUGACGGAGCAACGCCGCGUGAGUGAUGAAGGUUUUCGGAUCGUAAAGCUCUGUUGCCCUAGACGAACAGCAGGGAGAGUAACUGCUCUCUGUGUGACGGUAUAGGAGAAGAAAGCCCCGGCUAACUACGUG